CAGGCCGGCGCGCUCGCCCUGACUUAACUCCGUAAGCUCGAUAGGGCAAAGUUCGCGACCGUACAUUAUGGAACUGUGAAUUAUUUUUUACAACAAAUUUUAAAGUCGGACCAAUUUACGAGAGAUUAUCACACUGCAAAAUCAUCACGGACUAACAAUAAAGUGAUAUAAUGUGUUAAAAUAAAUGAAGGCCUAAUGUAUAAAGCUAUAACCAAACAAUGUUUAAAUGAAAUACAAUGCAGAGGUACAGAAUGUGACCAGAAUUAAAGGAUGCAACUAGUAAUGAUAAAUUUCCUAAUAAUGUUCGACGUGGUGUUUAUAUUCUUUUUGUUCUUAAUCGCGGUCACAUGCGUCAUGAACUACAUGCCGGGUCGCAGCAAGAAGCAGGAAGCUACAGAGGAUGAAGUGGAGGAUGACGUCAUCCCUCCACCUCCGCUGUUCGCUGGAGAAGAUAUCGAGAGGCAAGCUUCGACCAGCAGAGAUACAUAUGUGGUUAUAUCACCUCCGAUCGACAACCACAAAACCAAAGAUGGAUGUCCUAUACACGUGGUCUAACAUAAGCAUUGAUGAAUCAACGUAGGAGUUUAUUCUAAAGAAGCCUUAU